CCGCUUACGAGAUGUGGUGUCCGCAAGAAGAGAUUCGAUUGAUAAACAAACGAGUCACUAAUAAUAAUAAUAAUAAUAAUAAUAAUAAUAAUAAUAAUAAUAAUUACAAUAUUGAAUCAGGAGGUCCACUCACAAAGUGAUUUUCAGUGGAGCCCUGAGCAAGAAAAAUAAUUGAAGUUACUGUAAUGUUAAACCUAUGGCUAUGUCAUAUCGCGUCCCAUCACUUCAGCAGAGUGUCUUAUAUAGCUAGUGUCAAACGUUUCGGUUAGGUUCAAUUUCCGAUUAUGCAAAUUGUUCUAUUUCCCGGAGUUCCACAACCAGACUGCAUGUUCCAGUCGUUGACAACAUGGCAGCCGAAUGUCUGCUUAUCCCAGUUCUUCUCGACGCGUUCCAAAUGUAAGUUCUGUUUGUUUCGGUUGUUGUAGCUGUGGAGGUCAGACGACUACUUAAGUGCAUAGCUUUU